GGUCAGGUAGCUCAGUCGGUACGAGCGUCCGCCUGAAAAGCGGAAGGUCGGCGGUUCGACCCCGCCCCUGACCACCU
rnacentral:tRNA from 1 species